CCCCCUGUUCAGAACAGAGGUUUUGGUUCAGGAACAGUAUAACUUUCCCAUUUUUUGUUUUUAUUGCACGUUGCCUGUCAUUAUGAUGCCUUUGAAAAGAUCCUCUCGGCUGGUACUGAAGUUGCAACCACCCCCAGGUGCUUCUUGGCAGGUAGACUAAAGGUUUGUGUCCACUAGAUGCUAUUUUCCCGCACGGCAACGCACCGCAUCUUAAAAUCACACGGACGGCGGUCACUAGCGGACCACAACAUGGUCACAUGACAGCGCUGACCAACAGCAGGACGCUACGUGGUGACGUCACCGAGCUUUCAGCUGGACAGUCCUGCAGACAAGUCGGAUAAACACAGCGGCUCGGCCGCAAACUUUCCCUUUUAUUUCAAAAACACUUCAGUGAAAAGUAUUUCUGAAAGCAUUUGAGGCGAGAAAUAAUCUGCAGCAGUUGAAUCUGUCCUCGUUUUAGGUCACCGACGCCUAGUUUAGAAGUUUGAGGACAGUUUCACGAUGCGUGGAAUCUCCGCACGCUACAUUGAAUUUGCAUAAAGUAGAAGUCCAGUGUACUUUAUGCAAAUGAGCUGCAGCCUUCUCCAGGUAAACACACCGGAUCCCAGCGGGAAACACCCCGCGGCUCUGCAGACACCCUUCUCUCCUCACCAGCAAGUGAACAUCCUGGACGUCAUGUGUGGAAUUAACAAGCUUUAACAGACUCACUCAACCAAAUGUCAACAGAAUAAUUGUGGCUCUACUUGCAGACGUGUUGUGGAUAGGAAUGUUGUACGCCUUCUGAGAAACCGGACCGAAGGGAACACAAGCUGAGGACUACCUUCACUGUAAGGACCUGUACACCACACUCCUCAUGACCUUAGUGAAACCCGGAGGGAUCGUCUCUUCUUUAGGACACACAUUCCAGGCUCCACCUCCUCUGAAAAAGCUUCCCUCUGUGCAGUUACUGCAACACAGUCUUCUUUCUGUCAGAGACUGACAACGUGCAGGAUUACUGCAGCCUAAUACUGUCCACUUCUGGCACUGUGCUGAAAAUGGGUUCAAUCAAGAAAGUAUGGAAAUCAAAACAUAUAGCCAUAUAGUAAAAUCCAAAGUUUAAUUUUGCAUUCUGUUCUUUUUCUGUUUUGAAUUUAACAAAUGUUCACGUUGCUGUUAAAUGUUUUUAAACUGUUAUCCAAAAGAAGUUAUUACAUUGUCCAAACUUUGUCCAAAUCUUUCUAAGGUGGUGUCUGGGGAGGGGCAAGGCUCAGUUGAGUGGUUCACCAGCAUCGGAAACGAGCAAACUGUUUCGUUUGUGCUGACCCGUGAGGAGUUCACAGACAAACUGGGGCCGAUGUGCAGGGGAGUUAUGAAAAGAUUUCAGUUGGCCAAUCAACCUGUCCCCAAAAUCCUGUACGUGGACCGUGGGUGUUGCCGAGCACAGGACCCAACAGCAGUGGAGACUUUGUUUCAGCCUGGGGUGGACUGUGGGUUGGUUGUGUGUCUGGGCAUCUUCCACUGGAUCCACUGGUUUGAGUCCCACUCCAAGUACGCUGCUUUUAAAUCUGCGCUCGCCUGAGCAGUGCUGGCCUACAAUCACAGUCAGUCAGAGCUAAAAAUCCAGCAGUGCUGCAGUCUGCCUCUGAUAAUGACGUUGUCAGGAGCAGCUGAAGCAUCAUGUGCAGAGGGUGACACUCGGGGCUCAGGAAACAUUUCAGCUCAUCCACCUGAUGAGUAGCUUAAAGAUCCUGCUGGAUUGGAUGAGAGUGGAGUGAGCCUCUUCAGAACACCUGAGGCCAUUGAUGGGAUGUGGGCAGCACAACAGAGACAUCUGCAGUGCAUCCAGGAUCCACCAGACAUUAACAUGUACAAGGUGGCACAAACCAACCAUCAACAACAUGGAUGUGUCCUCCUCCAAGUGCCUGCAUGUGUAACAGAGAGAGCUGGGCCAGACCAGCCACACAUGGAAACAUCAGCCUGGAAGGAUUCCACAAGACUUUGUCAAGCAGGAUUCCAGGUCCUCACUGUGCAGCACAGCCCUAUCAGGUUUACCUGAUCAGUGGCAUCGUCCAGUGGAACGCUGACAGGAGCUCUGAUGUGGUGUUUAGGGGCAGAGGAUGGUGUUACUGGAACUACUCUGCACCGCUGAUCAACCACCUCAACACCUCCUGUCAGCAGCUGUCUGGGGAGACUGGAGGAGAAUUUCAGGAUCCCUGCUGUUGUCUCCUCCAACGAGCUGCUUGAGUAUGGGGGAAUCCAGACCCUUCUCUCUUCAGGACAUCAUCAACGAUGGACCUGGUCCCGAGCAGGAGGAGGUUCAGUCUGGGCAGCCUGAUCCAGACGAGGCUGAUGACGGGGAGGAACAUGAGCUGGAUGCUGACCUGCCCCACAUCACGCUUAACUAGUGAGGAAACUAUCACCAGGCCUGCAUCAUCCCUCGCUGUAUCCACAGCAGCCCAAAAGAUUGCUGGCGUCUCUGGGAUUACUGGCCCCUCCAGACAGCCCAUCCUGCUUGCUUCAUCAGACCCUGCAACUGCAGCUCACACUGCUGGCACACCUGUGACUACUUCUUCGUGCUGGACAAGAGCAACGCUGUACAAGCAGAAGCUGAAGGGCUACCAGGGUGCAAAAUCUGCCAGCAUGUACAGUCUGUGGCCAGCCAACACAGGGACAUAGAAAGUAGAAAAAAGGCUUUCUGCCCAGUAACAAUGAUGUCCCCGUUUAAAGGUCUGAGCAACAGAGUGUUUACCAGCUACGAGCACUUCACCUCUGCUGUUGACAGUUUGAAUUGUAAAUAUGCUGUAAAUACGCAAGGUUGCUUUGUACAUUUUGUAUGUUUGGGGCACUGAAUUGUAAAUAUCUGUAAAUAUGUUAGAGUUGCUUUUUAUAUGCUGUGAUUGAUUUAGAAAUACAUUAGGUUUGCUUUGUAUAUACUGUAAAUAAUUUUCAUUAGUCUGAGUUUUUAUUUAGUUUUUUACACUUAAAUUGUCUAAAAUCCUGUGUACUGUAUUAUUUUUAUUCAAUAAAGUGAUCUGGAGGAUGGAACUGUGAUCUGUAAAUAGUUGCAUCUUACUGACAAAUUGUAAAUAUUUUUUAUUUUCAUGUCCUUUAAUUCUGAAUCAUGUUCAAUGAUACUUUGUCGACACUAGUGCUGUGGUUUUUCCAUGUUCCUUAGUUCAUGCACUUGAUGUAUUAAAGGGGUCAGUGCUACAGUAACAGUGAGUUGUGGAAUAUCAAUUUAUGAAUGCAAAAAUGGGUAAAUUAAAAUGGAGAACACAGGUGGACUGUCAUGUUACUUACAGGUAAAUUUGUAUGUCUGUAGUUCAACAAUAUGUCAUUGUUCUACUCAUGUAGCAAUAGAAAUAUUAUGGUGACUUUAAUCAGCCUCCCAAUAACCAUAAGGACCUUUAUAAAAACACAAGUGAUGAGUGUAAAUAACCAGCAGUUAGGACAAAGCAUCAUCAAACAAGUCUACCUUUUAAAAAUUCAGCUUUAUAUUUAGUUUUUAUCAACAUCAGAACAAUAUAAAUUAUUUUUUUCAGUUGUACAAAGUAUUUGCACACAUAUAUUAAAUAUCAAUCAAGAAGAACGCACAUAAACAUUCGCUCCAAAAUAUACACAUAAAAGCCACUUAAUGAUCACAGUAUAUGUCCCCAACAACAGGGUCCACUAGCAAAAAUACAGGCGUAAUUACAGGGAAAAGCUGGACUGUGUGUAUUGAGUGCUAAACAUGAGGCAGGAGGACUGAGCUUGCUUUUAGCUGAGGUAGUAACGGGUUUUUACGGGCUACAAACUGUUCUCUGUUUUGUUCGUGGUUUAAUCCUUCCCUCGACGUUUCAACGGUGAGGUCAAGCGCAACAACUCUGCGCCAUUUUGUGGGUUUCAGACGGUCCAGGUUCAGGUGUGUUCGCUUAGCUGCCGUUCGUACGGAGAACCAAGGAACGGAGUGGACGACAGCUAAAACCUAUGGAGAUUAAAAUCUCUUUUUGAGGGAGAAUUUGCCAAGACGACCACGUGAAACCAAAUGGUAUCACAGAGGAAGAUCCCUGAUGACUAACUGCUGUGUGCCAAGACGUGUUGUGGAUAGGAAUGUUGUACGCCUUCUGAGAAACCGGACCGAAGGGAACACAAGCUGAGGACUACCUUCACUGUAAGGACCUGUACACCACACUCCUCAUGACCUUAGUGAAACCCGGAGGGAUCGUCUCUUCUUUAGGACACACAUUCCAGGCUCCACCUCCUCUGAAAAAGCUUCCCUCUGUGCAGUUACUGCAACACAGUCUUCUUUCUGUCAGAGACUGACAACGUGCAGGAUUACUGCAGCCUAAUACUGUCCACUUCUGGCACUGUGCUGAAAAUGGGUUCAAUCAAGAAAGUAUGGAAAUCAAAACAUAUAGCCAUAUAGUAAAAUCCAAAGUUUAAUUUUGCAUUCUGUUCUUUUUCUGUUUUGAAUUUAACAAAUGUUCACGUUGCUGUUAAAUGUUUUUAAACUGUUAUCCAAAAGAAGUUAUUACAUUGUCCAAACUUUGUCCAAAUCUUUCUAAGGUGGUGUCUGGGGAGGGGCAAGGCUCAGUUGAGUGGUUCACCAGCAUCGGAAACGAGCAAACUGUUUCGUUUGUGCUGACCCGUGAGGAGUUCACAGACAAACUGGGGCCGAUGUGCAGGGGAGUUAUGAAAAGAUUUCAGUUGGCCAAUCAACCUGUCCCCAAAAUCCUGUACGUGGACCGUGGGUGUUGCCGAGCACAGGACCCAACAGCAGUGGAGACUUUGUUUCAGCCUGGGGUGGACUGUGGGUUGGUUGUGUGUCUGGGCAUCUUCCACUGGAUCCACUGGUUUGAGUCCCACUCCAAGUACGCUGCUUUUAAAUCUGCGCUCGCCUGAGCAGUGCUGGCCUACAAUCACAGUCAGUCAGAGCUAAAAAUCCAGCAGUGCUGCAGUCUGCCUCUGAUAAUGACGUUGUCAGGAGCAGCUGAAGCAUCAUGUGCAGAGGGUGACACUCGGGGCUCAGGAAACAUUUCAGCUCAUCCACCUGAUGAGUAGCUUAAAGAUCCUGCUGGAUUGGAUGAGAGUGGAGUGAGCCUCUUCAGAACACCUGAGGCCAUUGAUGGGAUGUGGGCAGCACAACAGAGACAUCUGCAGUGCAUCCAGGAUCCACCAGACAUUAACAUGUACAAGGUGGCACAAACCAACCAUCAACAACAUGGAUGUGUCCUCCUCCAAGUGCCUGCAUGUGUAACAGAGAGAGCUGGGCCAGACCAGCCACACAUGGAAACAUCAGCCUGGAAGGAUUCCACAAGACUUUGUCAAGCAGGAUUCCAGGUCCUCACUGUGCAGCACAGCCCUAUCAGGUUUACCUGAUCAGUGGCAUCGUCCAGUGGAACGCUGACAGGAGCUCUGAUGUGGUGUUUAGGGGCAGAGGAUGGUGUUACUGGAACUACUCUGCACCGCUGAUCAACCACCUCAACACCUCCUGUCAGCAGCUGUCUGGGGAGACUGGAGGAGAAUUUCAGGAUCCCUGCUGUUGUCUCCUCCAACGAGCUGCUUGAGUAUGGGGGAAUCCAGACCCUUCUCUCUUCAGGACAUCAUCAACGAUGGACCUGGUCCCGAGCAGGAGGAGGUUCAGUCUGGGCAGCCUGAUCCAGACGAGGCUGAUGACGGGGAGGAACAUGAGCUGGAUGCUGACCUGCCCCACAUCACGCUUAACUAGUGAGGAAACUAUCACCAGGCCUGCAUCAUCCCUCGCUGUAUCCACAGCAGCCCAAAAGAUUGCUGGCGUCUCUGGGAUUACUGGCCCCUCCAGACAGCCCAUCCUGCUUGCUUCAUCAGACCCUGCAACUGCAGCUCACACUGCUGGCACACCUGUGACUACUUCUUCGUGCUGGACAAGAGCAACGCUGUACAAGCAGAAGCUGAAGGGCUACCAGGGUGCAAAAUCUGCCAGCAUGUACAGUCUGUGGCCAGCCAACACAGGGACAUAGAAAGUAGAAAAAAGGCUUUCUGCCCAGUAACAAUGAUGUCCCCGUUUAAAGGUCUGAGCAACAGAGUGUUUACCAGCUACGAGCACUUCACCUCUGCUGUUGACAGUUUGAAUUGUAAAUAUGCUGUAAAUACGCAAGGUUGCUUUGUACAUUUUGUAUGUUUGGGGCACUGAAUUGUAAAUAUCUGUAAAUAUGUUAGAGUUGCUUUUUAUAUGCUGUGAUUGAUUUAGAAAUACAUUAGGUUUGCUUUGUAUAUACUGUAAAUAAUUUUCAUUAGUCUGAGUUUUUAUUUAGUUUUUUACACUUAAAUUGUCUAAAAUCCUGUGUACUGUAUUAUUUUUAUUCAAUAAAGUGAUCUGGAGGAUGGAACUGUGAUCUGUAAAUAGUUGCAUCUUACUGACAAAUUGUAAAUAUUUUUUAUUUUCAUGUCCUUUAAUUCUGAAUCAUGUUCAAUGAUACUUUGUCGACACUAGUGCUGUGGUUUUUCCAUGUUCCUUAGUUCAUGCACUUGAUGUAUUAAAGGGGUCAGUGCUACAGUAACAGUGAGUUGUGGAAUAUCAAUUUAUGAAUGCAAAAAUGGGUAAAUUAAAAUGGAGAACACAGGUGGACUGUCAUGUUACUUACAGGUAAAUUUGUAUGUCUGUAGUUCAACAAUAUGUCAUUGUUCUACUCAUGUAGCAAUAGAAAUAUUAUGGUGACUUUAAUCAGCCUCCCAAUAACCAUAAGGACCUUUAUAAAAACACAAGUGAUGAGUGUAAAUAACCAGCAGUUAGGACAAAGCAUCAUCAAACAAGUCUACCUUUUAAAAAUUCAGCUUUAUAUUUAGUUUUUAUCAACAUCAGAACAAUAUAAAUUAUUUUUUUCAGUUGUACAAAGUAUUUGCACACAUAUAUUAAAUAUCAAUCAAGAAGAACACACAUAAACAUUCGCUCCAAAAUAUACACAUAAAAGCCACUUAAUGAUCACAGUAUAUGUCCCCAACAACAGGGUCCACUAGCAAAAAUACAGGCGUAAUUACAGGGAAAAGCUGGACUGUGUGUAUUGAGUGCUAAACAUGAGGCAGGAGGACUGAGCUUGCUUUUAGCUGAGGUAGUAACGGGUUUUUACGGGCUACAAACUGUUCUCUGUUUUGUUCGUGGUUUAAUCCUUCCCUCGACGUUUCAACGGUGAGGUCAAGCGCAACAACUCUGCGCCAUUUUGUGGGUUUCAGACGGUCCAGGUUCAGGUGUGUUCGCUUAGCUGCCGUUCGUACGGAGAACCAAGGAACGGAGUGGACGACAGCUGUUAGUAAAUUCACGUUUAUUAACUGACUUAACAUUUCUUCUAGCUUGUUUAACAGUCGUGUUAACUAUUUAGACAACUGCUACCGAGAAGACAUUUGUUUUGUCGACGGUUUGGAGUGAUGCAGCAGCUUUAGCUCGCUAACUAGCAUUAGCUAACGUAGGCCCUCUUCAGUUUCUGUGAUAAAUUUGUCAGUUUUGUUCAGGUGAACCGACUCGUACCUGUGUUUGAUGUAUUUUCGGGGAAAUAAAGACAGGUUAAACGGCAGCUUAAUGCGCUGCGAAUGACUUUGUCACGGCAGUCUUGUCAUUUACUGCAGGUGGCCGCACCUGUUGGUUUUAUUAGGCUAAUUAGGCUAAUAUAUUAGCAACCAGUGGACGGUUUAAUUGAGUUGCUUGAUUUGUCAGCCGACCGCAUCAACUUCAGUGUAGUCCAGCUUCAUGUGAAUGAUAAUGUUGUGGAGGCUCUUUUAGAUAGUUAAUUCAUUACGGUUAUUUUGACCGUCAUAUCUAAUGCUGCUGGUGCUCAUGUGGAGGCUGUAAUUAUUUCUUCACGCCUGCAUUUUUUUGUACGACGAGCUAUAGCCAGAGCUGUUGGAUUUAUUUAGUUAGAGCUGUUUAGUUAAUAUUGACAGUGUGUUUGCUGACUAGUUAGUGUCGAGUAGCAGAACCUGAAGUGUGUAGUUUUCUCUCCUCUCCACUAGAGGCCGCUGGAAGAGCUCCGUUUGUUGUGAAUCAGGAUCGUAAAAAAACAUGAUUUUCCUGAACAUCCCAACUUUAUUCUGCUUCAUGAAGUUAACCAAUAUACUGUAUAUACAUAUAUUUAAGGGUUCUAUGUAUUCUCUGAUGUGUGUGUGAAGGAAAAUUAGUUUAUUUGCAGUUUCUGUUUCUCUGCUUCCUAUUGGUCUAAAACGUACCACAUGUCCAGGAAGACACACGAAGGUGCAUUUGCGAACAUUAGUUGAUUUAAAUUACCGCAACAAAACAACACCAGUGUUACGUGAGAUCGUUGUACAUCGUUUAUGUUUUGUAUGAUGAGCUAAAAUCUGCAAUUUUGCUGUAGUUUUUAUUUUCCAAACCGUGAGUUAGAUUGACGGUACGGAGAAUGAGCCCUUUUCCUCCGACGUAUUCCCGGUAUCGCUUCUCGGCCUUUUGGCUAAGAUCAAGUGUAGUAUCUGUUCUUAUCAGUUUAAUAUCUGAUACGUCCCCUAUCCGGGGACCAUAUAUUAAAUUGAUUUUUGGAACAGGGAGAUGGAAUAGGGGCUUGCUCCGUCCACUCCACGCAUCGACCUGGUAUUGCAGUACUUCCAGGAACGGUGCA